CCCCAAGUGCUAAUUUACAUUACAUGGCAACCAAAUCAGCUUGGAGGACAGCAGAGCCAGGCUGUGGCCUGCUGUGGGCAGCAGUCCUCGCUCGGUUCGGCCAACCUCCCCGUGGCCCUGGAUCCACCUCCCUCCGGCCUUUGAAAAUUCUUCAGCAGAGACAUCAUUACCCUAGCAUGGCAUCGAGGGGCCCCACAGUGAAAGGUCCUGUUUGCCAGGUAAAGUAGCCCAGCGGAGCCUGGUGAAGGUCUGCCCUCCCGCAAUCUCGCACCUGCCUCCUGCCCAGCCCAGCCCUCCAAAGGUAGUAUGAGGAAGAAGUGACUUGGAGAGACAGGACUCCGGCUGAAGGGAAAACACACACCUAAAGGUCUAAAUGUGACUCAGCUGAAAAGUUGUCAACAGAUGACUGUGUUCCAGGAACCACAGACAAGCAGGAACCAACAUCGGCGUGAAGAGUUCUCUGUUUUCAUCCCACAAAACAUCUAACAGAGUUGACAGAGCUAAUGACUCUGCGCUGUGCUUUGUGGGAAUUCAAUAGUAACUCGAGAGCGGUUUUUAAAUAA